rnacentral:rRNA from 1 species
GGAUCCAGACUUUGAUUCUGGCUCAGGACGAACGCUGGCGGCGCGCCUAACACAUGCAAGUCGAGCGGGAAGCUUUUUAAGGAUUCUUCGGAUGAAUUAAAAAGUGGAGAGCGGCCGGACGGGUGAGUAACGCGUGAGAAACCUGCCCUAUACAGGGGGAUAGCCAUUGGAAACGAUGAUUAAUACCCCAUAUGACCACAGUAUCGCAUGAUACAGCGGUGAAAACUCCGGUGGUAUAGGAUGGUCUCGCGUCUGAUUAGCUAGUUGGUGGGGUAACGGCCUACCAAGGCGACGAUCAGUAGCCGGCCUGAGAGGGUGACCGGCCACACUGGAACUGAGACACGGUCCAGACUCCUACGGGAGGCAGCAGUGGGGAAUAUUGCACAAUGGGCGAAAGCCUGAUGCAGCGACCCCGCGUGACCGAUGAAGGCUUUUCGAGUCGUAAAGUUCUGUUCUUGGGGAANAUAACGACGGUCCCCAAGGAGAAAGCCCCGGCUAAAUACGUGCCAGCAGCCCCGG